GGAGAUUAUUGUUUGGAUUGAGGGCAUUUGGGUUUUUGGCAACAUAGUUGGCUCUGGGUUUUGGGUUUGUUUUUGAAAAUUGUUUUUGGGUCUGAAAAAUCAAAAUCAAUCGAUUUUGGGAGAAAGUAUUGAUUGGUUUUAGUGGGGUUGUUUUUGGAAAAUGUUAUUGGGUUUUCUCAAAAUCAAGCGAUUGUGGGAGAAAGCAAUGAUGAGUGGUGUUUUCUGAUUGGGUUUUUUAAGAAGAAUGGGGGAGUGAAUCAUGCGACAUUGGCGGACUUGGUAGUGUAGGAACUCUGUACGCUGUAGAUGGCAGUGAGAGAGAGAGAGAGAGAGAGAGAGAGAGAGAGAGAGAGGAGUGAAACUUGGUACCGAAGGAAGAAACAGUAAAGUAAA